rnacentral:rRNA from 1 species
AGUGAACGCUGGCGGUAUGCCUAACACAUGCAAGUCGAACGGCAGCACAGUAAGAGCUUGCUCUUACGGGUGGCGAGUGGCGGACGGGUGGGGAAUACAUCGGAAUCUACUUUUUCGUGGGGGAUAACGUAGGGAAACUUACGCUAAUACCGCAUACGACCUACGGGUGAAAGCAGGGGAUCUUCGGACCUUGCGCGAUUGAAUGAGCCGAUGUCGGAUUAGCUAGUUGGCGGGGUAAAGUCCCACCAAGGCGACGAUCCGUAGCUGGUCUGAGAGGAUGAUCAGCCACACUGGAACUGAGACACGGUCCAGACUCCUACGGGAGGCAGCAGUGGGGAAUAUUGGACAAUGGGCGCAAGCCUGAUCCAGCAAUACCGCGUGGGUGAAGAAGGCCUUCGGGUUGUAAAGCCCUUUUGUUGGGAAAGAAAAGCAGCAGGUUAAUACCCCGCUGUUCUGACGGUACCCAAAGAAUAAGCACCGGCUAACUUCGUG